ensembl:lncRNA
GUCAUGGGGUGGGGGUGGGGCAGAUGGGAAAAGUGAGGGGAGCCAGAAGCCAGCUCACCCUGCGAGGCCUGGAGUCAACAACACAAUAUCUUAAUCUACAACCAUAACCACGGCAAUCUCCACUUAAACUGAAAUUACUACCAUAAUGAGAAAAAAAAACACAACCAAAACAAACAACAAAAAUAUUCGACCAGCCUUUCAAAUGAACCUUCUAUGACAAUGCAUAGUGACACCUCUCUGACCAAACAUACACUUCAGUUGAGCACAAUACCACCCAGUAUCUAAAACUCUGACAAAAGUUACACCUAGCAUUACUGCAGACCUUCAACAAUAACCACCUCUGUGGAACAUAACUCCAGAACCCACAUUAUAACUUUUUCUCUAUCAUAAUGGGUAGAUGCUGGAAUCCAUUUAACUAUGGCUACUGAACUUAUGACUACAACAGAAACAAACACUCCCACUGACUCUGAAAACACUUUCUACUGAACUGCUAUAAUUAUACCCACCUCAUUCAUUUGAAAUUACAACAAAUGGCAUCAGGCCCACCUUAUCCACUGAAACUAAAAGCACAAUAAUUUGUAGUAGGCAUAUUCUGGCUAGAGAUAGCAGAACCACUUCUGGAGAAACUACAAGCAAAACAACUCCAACUCCGUCUUCUGCUGAGCCCUUAACCACAGCACCAGCUGUCACCAAACUGAACCUCAACCCCCAAUUCUUCUGAGACAACAACCAAGGCAGCUAUUCCCACUCACAUUACAUCUACAGCUACCACUCUCUGGAAAGGCACAAAACGAGGACCAAAGCUUCAGAUGCAUUCCUUAAACACAUUAUCAACGGUGAUGAUGAUGGUGAUGAUGAUGAUGCUGACGGUGAUACUGAUGAGGGUGAAAACGAUGAGCUGAGCUGUACUAUAUGGACGGAAGGUGCCUCCAUAAGAAAGGCCUGGUUUGUCUUGUUUGGGUAGCCUCUGUCAGAAACCGCAAAAGGUUCCUGAAUGGCUGAUCCAAGAAUCAAAAGAUCUAGUGCUUUUCCUGGCUCCUCAAAGGGACUAAGGCCAUGAGGCCAGAAUCUGUGAAAUUUACAAUGUAACAUCCUCAACAUUCAAGCUCAAUGUCUGGCAUAUAACGGGAA